rnacentral:rRNA from 1 species
UUAAGCGACUAAGCGUACACGGUGGAUGCCCUGGCAGUCAGAGGCGAUGAAGGACGUGCUAAUCUGCGAAAAGCGUCGGUAAGGUGAUAUGAACCGUUACAGCCGGCGAUGUCCGAAUGGGGAAACCCAGUGCAAUUCGUUGCACUAUCGUUAACUGAAUACAUAGGUUAACGAGGCGAACCGGGGGAACUGAAACAUCUAAGUACCCCGAGGAAAAGAAAUCAACCGAGAUUCCCCCAGUAGCGGCGAGCGAACGGGGAGCAGCCCAGAGUCUGAAUCAGCUUGUGUGUUAGUGGAACGGUCUGGAAAGUCCGACGGUACAGGGUGAUAGUCCCGUACACCAAAAUGCACAGGCUGUGAACUCGAAGAGUAGGGCGGGACACGUGGUAUCCUGUCUGAAUAUGGGGGGACCAUCCUCCAAGGCUAAAUACUCCUGACUGACCGAUAGUGAACCAGUACCGUGAGGGAAAGGCGAAAAGAACCCCGGCGAGGGGAGUGAAAAAGAACCUGAAACCGUGUACGUACAAGCAGUGGGAGCACCCUUUAGGGUGUGACUGCGUACCUUUUGUAUAAUGGGUCAGCGACUUAUAUUCUGUAGCAAGGUUAACCGUAUAGGGGAGCCGCAGGGAAACCGAGUCUUAACUGGGCGUUAAGUUGCAGGGUAUAGACCCGAAACCCGGUGAUCUAGCCAUGGGCAGGUUGAAGGUUGGGUAACACUAACUGGAGGACCGAACCGACUAAUGUUGAAAAAUUAGCGGAUGACUUGUGGCUGGGGGUGAAAGGCCAAUCAAACCGGGAGAUAGCUGGUUCUCCCCGAAAGCUAUUUAGGUAGCGCCUCGUGAAUUCAUCUUCGGGGGUAGAGCACUGUUUCGGCUAGGGGGUCAUCCCGACUUACCAACCCGAUGCAAACUACGAAUACCGAAGAAUGUUAUCACGGGAGACACACGGCGGGUGCUAACGUCCGUCGUGAAGAGGGAAACAACCCAGACCGCCAGCUAAGGUCCCAAAGUCACAGUUAAGUGGGAAACGAUGUGGGAAGGCACAGACAGCCAGGAUGUUGGCUUAGAAGCAGCCAUCAUUUAAAGAAAGCGUAAUAGCUCACUGGUCGAGUCGGCCUGCGCGGAAGAUGUAACGGGGCUAAACUGUGCACCGAAGCUGCGGCAGCGACACUAUGUGUUGUUGGGUAGGGGAGCGUUCUGUAAGCCUGCGAAGGUGGCCUGUGAGGGUUGCUGGAGGUAUCAGAAGUGCGAAUGCUGACAUAAGUAACGAUAAUGCGGGUGAAAAGCCCGCACGCCGGAAGACCAAGGGUUCCUGUCCAACGUUAAUCGGGGCAGGGUGAGUCGACCCCUAAGGCGAGGCCGAAAGGCGUAGUCGAUGGGAAACAGGUUAAUAUUCCUGUACUUGGUGUUACUGCGAAGGGGGGACGGAGAAGGCUAUGUUAGCCGGGCGACGGUUGUCCCGGUUUAAGCAUGUAGGCGGAGGUUCCAGGUAAAUCCGGUACCUUAUUAACGCUGAGGUGUGAUGACGAGGCACUACGGUGCUGAAGUAACAAAUGCCCUGCUUCCAGGAAAAGCCUCUAAGCAUCAGGUAACAUUAAAUCGUACCCCAAACCGACACAGGUGGUCAGGUAGAGAAUACCAAGGCGCUUGAGAGAACUCGGGUGAAGGAACUAGGCAAAAUGGUGCCGUAACUUCGGGAGAAGGCACGCUGAUAUGUAGGUGAAGCCCCUGCGGGUGGAGCUGAAAUCAGUCGAAGAUACCAGCUGGCUGCAACUGUUUAUUAAAAACACAGCACUGUGCAAACACGAAAGUGGACGUAUACGGUGUGACGCCUGCCCGGUGCCGGAAGGUUAAUUGAUGGGGUUAUCCGUAAGGAGAAGCUCUUGAUCGAAGCCCCGGUAAACGGCGGCCGUAACUAUAACGGUCCUAAGGUAGCGAAAUUCCUUGUCGGGUAAGUUCCGACCUGCACGAAUGGCGUAAUGAUGGCCAGGCUGUCUCCACCCGAGACUCAGUGAAAUUGAACUCGCUGUGAAGAUGCAGUGUACCCGCGGCAAGACGGAAAGACCCCGUGAACCUUUACUAUAGCUUGACACUGAACAUUGAGCCUUGAUGUGUAGGAUAGGUGGGAGGCUUUGAAGCGUGGACGCCAGUCUGCGUGGAGCCAACCUUGAAAUACCACCCUUUAAUGUUUGAUGUUCUAACGUUGGCCCCUAAUCGGGGUUGCGGACAGUGUCUGGUGGGUAGUUUGACUGGGGCGGUCUCCUCCCAAAGAGUAACGGAGGAGCACGAAGGUUAGCUAAUCCUGGUCGGACAUCAGGAGGUUAGUGCAAUGGCAUAAGCUAGCUUGACUGCGAGCGUGACGGCGCGAGCAGGUGCGAAAGCAGGUCAUAGUGAUCCGGUGGUUCUGAAUGGAAGGGCCAUCGCUCAACGGAUAAAAGGUACUCCGGGGAUAACAGGCUGAUACCGCCCAAGAGUUCAUAUCGACGGCGGUGUUUGGCACCUCGAUGUCGGCUCAUCACAUCCUGGGGCUGAAGUAGGUCCCAAGGGUAUGGCUGUUCGCCAUUUAAAGUGGUACGCGAGCUGGGUUUAGAACGUCGUGAGACAGUUCGGUCCCUAUCUGCCGUGGGCGCUGGAGAAUUGAGGGGGGCUGCUCCUAGUACGAGAGGACCGGAGUGGACGCAUCACUGGUGUUCGGGUUGUCAUGCCAAUGGCAUUGCCCGGUAGCUAAAUGCGGAAGAGAUAAGUGCUGAAAGCAUCUAAGCACGAAACUUGCCCCGAGAUGAGUUCUCCCUGAGACUUUAAGUCUCCUGAAGGAACGUUAAAGACGAUGACGUUGAUAGGUCGGGUGUGUAAGCGUAGCGAUACGUUGAGCUAACCGAUACUAAUGAACCGUGAGGCUUAACCU